UUUCGGCAUACUCGUUUCUGUCGAUCAAACACAAUUUAAUCGUAAGUGUAAAGUAAACAAAAGUCUAUGCGUUUAAAAAGCCAUUAACCAAAAAAGUGCGACGUGAAACGAUUUAUUUGUAGGUAGACAUAUUAUUUAUAGAAUAACUGACGGGUGCGACGCCGACUAAAAUGGCCUUUAUUUUGUAGUUUUUACGGUGCAUACUGUGAUUAUUUCCCGCAUUUUCUAUAUUCUGUCCCAGGAAAGAAGGGCUUAAGUCGGUUUUAAAUAUUUUUUCUAAUCUCGUCUUGUACAAUUUUUUGGUCUAA